rnacentral:rRNA from 1 species
AGAGUUUGAUCAUGGCUCAGAACGAACGCUGGCGGCGUGCUUAACACAUGCAAGUCGAACGCGAAAGGGGCUUCGGUUCUGAGUAGAGUGGCGCACGGGUGAGUAACGCGUAGAUAACCUGUCUUUAUGUCUGGAAUAACACACCGAAAGCGGUACUAAUACCGGAUAUUCUUGUUUUUCAUAAGGCAUGCAAGGAAAGGUGGCCUCUAUUUAUAAGCUACUGCAUAGAGAGGGGUCUGCGUACCAUUAGCUAGUAGGUGGGGUAAUGGCCUACCUAGGCGACGAUGGUUAGCGGGUCUGAGAGGAUUAUCCGCCACACUGGCACUGGAACACGGGCCAGACUCCUACGGGAGGCAGCAGUGAGGAAUAUUGCGCAAUGGGGGGAACCCUGACGCAGCGACGCCGCGUGAGUGAGGAAGGCCUUCGGGUCGUAAAGCUCUGCCAAGAGGGAAGAAGUGCACUAUGGUUAAUACCCGUAUUGCUUGACGGUACCUCUAAAGGAAGCACCGGCUAACUCCGUGCCAGCAGCCGCGGUAAUACGGAGGGUGCGAGCGUUGUUCGGAAUCACUGGGCGUAAAGGGCGCGCAGGCGGUUUGGCAAGUCAGAUGUGAAAUCCCAUGGCUUAACUGUGGAAGUGCAUUUGAAACUGCCAGGCUUGAGUACCAGAGGGGAAAGUGGAAUUCCCGGUGUAGAGGUGAAAUUCGUAGAUAUCGGGAGGAAUACCGGUGGCGAAGGCGACUUUCUGGCUGGAUACUGACGCUGAGGCGCGAAAGCGUGGGGAGCAAACAGGAUUAGAUACCCUGGUAGUCCACGCUGUAAACGAUGUGAACUAGAUGUAGGGGUGUUGAUCCCCUCUGUGUCGCAGCUAACGCAUUAAGUUCACCGCCUGGGGAGUACGGUCGCAAGAUUAAAACUCAAAGGAAUUGACGG